AUUGAACGCUGGCGGCAUGCCUUACACAUGCAAGUCGAACGGCAGCACGGGUGCUUGCACCUGGUGGCGAGUGGCGAACGGGUGAGUAAUACAUCGGAACGUACCUUAUCGUGGGGGAUAACGCAGCGAAAGCUGUGCUAAUACCGCAUACGCCCUGAGGGGGAAAGCGGGGGAUCGAAAGACCUCGCGCGAUUAGAGCGGCCGAUGCCUGAUUAGCUUGUUGGCGGGGUAACGGCCCACCAAGUCUACGAUCAGUAGCUGAUGUGAGAGCAUGAUCAGCCACACGGGCACUGAGACACGGGCCCGACUCCUACGGGAGGCAGCAGUAAGGAAUAUUGGACAAUGGACGCAAGUCUGAUCCAGCCAUGCCGCGUGAAGGAUUAAGGUCCUCUGGAUUGUAAACUUCUUUUAUAAGGGACGAAAAAAGGUCUUUCUAGAUCGUCUGACGGUACCUUAUGAAUAAGCACCGGCUAACUCCGUG
rnacentral:rRNA from 1 species